rnacentral:rRNA from 1 species
AGCGAACGCUGGCGGCAGGCUUAACACAUGCAAGUCGAACGGAUCCUUCGGGAUUAGUGGCGGACGGGUGAGUAACACGUGGGAACGUGCCUUUUGGUUCGGAACAACACAGGGAAACUUGUGCUAAUACCGGAUGUGCCCUUCGGGGAAGGAUUAUCGCCAUUAGAGCGGCCCGCGUCUGAUUAGCUAGUUGGUGAGGUAAAGGCUCACCAAGGCUACGAUCAGUAGCUGGUCNGAGAGGAUGAUCAGCCACACUGGGACUGAGACACGGCCCAGACUCCUACGGGAGGGCAGCAGU